AGAUGUAUCAAAUGACAGCUCUAGUGGCCACUCCUCAAACUCUGAAUGAUGACAGUUGGUAUGCAUAUAGUGGAGCCACCAAUCACCUUAUUGCAGAUGCUGAAAAAUUGAACAACAAAGUGGAGUAUGGUGGUAAGGAGCAUAUGACAAUUGGUGAUGGAUUGAGCAAUAGGGAAGGUGGUGCUGCAAGGAACCUUUAAAGAUGGAUAGUAUCAAUUCUCAAGCACUGUAGGUGAAGAACCUUGUCAAAUUCUAACCAAGUUAUUUUCUGGUGUAGCAAUUGAGUCCAAGUCUACAAAUCAACUUUUUAUUUCCCUAAAGGAUGCAUGGCAUAGAUACCUAGGUCAUCC